AUUGAACGCUGGCGGCAUGCCUUACACAUGCAAGUCGAACGGCAGCAUGAUCUAGCUUGCUAGAUUGAUGGCGAGUGGCGAACGGGUGAGUAAUACAUCGGAACGUGCCCUGUAGUGGGGGAUAACUAGUCGAAAGAUUAGCUAAUACCGCAUACGACCUGAGGGUGAAAGUGGGGGACCGCAAGGCCUCAUGCUAUAGGAGCGGCCGAUGUCGGAUUAGCUAGUUGGUGAGGUAAAGGCUCACCAAGGCGACGAUCAGUAGCUGGUCUGAGCGGACGAUCAGCCACACUGGGACUGAGACACGGCCCAGACUCCUACGGGAGGCAGCAGUGGGGAAUUUUGGACAAUGGGGGCAACCCUGAUCCAGCAAUGCCGCGUGUGUGAAGAAGGCCUUCGGGUUGUAAAGCACUUUUGUCCGGAAAGAAAUCGCACUUACUAAUAUUAGGUGUGGAUGACGGUACCGGAAGAAUAAGGACCGGCUAACUACGUGCCAGCCGCCGCCGUAAAAC
rnacentral:rRNA from 1 species